AUUCAUUAACAGUGCUCCACUUUAACUCCAACAUAUUUAACUUUGUUGCCUUUUGAAACUGACGUUCGGUGGUUCCACUCCUUCCCGGGCCUCCGCGACGUAUUUCUCACUAUUUUACUACUUUUCCGUGUAAUUUAUUAUCCUUCGUUCCCUUGUAGUGUACAUCCACGAAAAACAAAGAGGAAAAGGCGAACCCGACGAAAAUGCUCGACGUCUUUUGCACGGCGCGUUGUUAAACCGCACUGCCGCCGGGCGCUGGCGGGCAAAGGACACGCGAGCCUCCUGUUUGUAUACUUUUUUACGUGUAUGCGUCUGCUUGUUUGUCUGCGGGGAUAGAAUACUGAGCUAAAGUGCCCACUCCGAGUCAGUCACCCGUCGGCCCGCCCGCCGGUCACCUUCCACAUCAAGGUUACGCCGUCAUAACGGACAGCAACUAUGUAAUUUUUCUUUAUAGUUACCCCAUCGUUCCACUGUGAAAAAUAGUAGGUGCAAGCUGUUCCCAACAGUGUUCCGCCCGGACGACCAUUGAGACGUUAAAGACUCGUAAACAGAAUCUCCUCUGACUGACGGCUGCGAAUCGAUUGAGGGUCGAACUGGUGUGUCGAACCGGCGAGACCACGUGUGGGCCACGCGUGGCGGGGCGCAGCACAGUCUUCAAGCCCUCAUUAUUCUACGUGAAGAAAUAGAAUCGUUAAUUAUAUUUCCCAAUGACAACGGAUUAAAAUUGCGUGUCCAAACUCCAA